CUUCCUGGUACUCCUGACAUACAUAUUUUGUUCUAGUGGUUGAUUAACUGCCCCAUAAGUUUGUUCUUAAUUAUAAUUUAUAACUUCCCCCUUCUAACAAGGUUCAUCAUCUUCAUGAUUUAUCUUCCCUAAUCUCUAUUGUCUUUCUGUUCAUUAUAGAUUCUCAUAAAAAGAAAAUAAAUAAAUUCAAAACUAGCACCCUUCCUGGUACUCCUGACAUACAUAUUUUGUUCUAGUGGUUGAUUAACUGCCCCAUAAGUUUGUUCUUAAUUAUAAUUUAUAACUUCCCCCUUCUAACAAGGUUCAUCAUCUUCAUGAUUUAUCUUCCCUAAUCUCUAUUGUCUUUCUGUUCAUUAUAGAUUCUCAUAAAAAGAAAAUAAAUAAAUUCAAAACUAGCACCAUUCUAUAUCUUUUUUCUCACUGUAAUAGACAGCAGCGGUGUCUAAUAGUAGUAACAGAAAUAUUAGAACUUUACAAUAAUAAUAAAAAGUGUCCAUAAGAUCAACUAAAACCUACACCUACUUUCCACCCACAAUCAAAUGGCAGGUCAAAUAAUCUUUGUUUCUUAAGUUUAGGAUGGGUUUUACCUGAGCUAAACAUUGU
rnacentral:misc_RNA from 1 species